AUGUACGAGGUUCCGGUGGCUUAUCGUGAAAACCUACAUUGGCUCUCUAUGCACCCUCAAGCCAAUCACACCAAAAAGAUGCUAGCAUUCGACACGGCUUCCGAGACAUUCCGACUCAUGUCCCAACCCUCGCCAGACAAUACCGUGAGGACAUCCUUAUUUGAGCUUGAUGGGGAGCUCUGUGUCGCUGCUAUGUCACAGAGCUUAACAUCCCUGGACAUAUGGGGCCUACAAGACUACAAGGCGGAGACCUGGACAUUGCUCCAUCGGGUUCAUGUGCCGAUGCCCGUACUAUACAAACGUGAUGAAGUAUCGGUGAGCAAGGUAAUCUCUAUUGGGAACGGUGCCAUCCUCAUCGGAUGUCCUAAAUGUAACGUGGCCAGGAUGUACCACCUCAAAGACAAAAGGAUGAUUUGCGAAGAUUUCACAUUCGGUAGUGUAGUAGAUCCCAGAUUCCUUGUAUUUAAUGAGAGCCUCGUGCCACAUGCUUUUUUUGACUCCCCUCGCUGCCCGGAUCUCGAGACUAUAUACUUCUCCUAA
rnacentral:rRNA from 1 species